UAUUGUGGAGAGUAACGGACGCCGUGUCCUAAUUGCUGUGCGUCUUUCUUUGUGGUUAGCACGUUCCAUUUGUAUCGGUACCAUGCCGUUGGGACGUUUAACUGUCUUAGCUUUAACCACUGUGGAAGCUAACAACAAUUUUGGCUCUGUGCGUGAUAAAGACCCACAAGGUCACACCCGCCAUCUUCCUUGCACCCCCCUCUAUUGUCCCACACACAUCUUAUAUGCUUGCUGAUUGUUCUAUGAGCAUUGUAAUAUCUUUGAUAUUUUUGCUAAUAACCAAACCUGCCCUACCUGAAUCCCAACAGUAGCAUCAGUUUGGAGCUCAGUGUUGUCAGCCUAACGGUGGUUACCAUAGUGAUGUGGAUGCAGAGAAUGAAAGGAAACACUGCGGCGGAUUAGGACAGUGGGCUGUUCUCUACUCCAAAGCCGUAGAGCUACUGAUGUAUUGAAGUCAUGUCAGUUCUUUCUCUGACACAUCUGACGCAAUGUGGGAAAACGAUUCUGUAUUGACACUAAACUCACUGAAGCAGCUUAAAUGUAUGAACUUUAAACAUGCUUUAUCUUAAAACAAAGGGUACUUAUUGCAGCUUCAGGCCGGCCUGUCAUAUUGACUGGACAAAAGAAGAAAUCUCCUUCCAUAACAGGGUUUCUGCAGAUUCAAGUUAAAUGUAUAAUAAUUAUAAUUAUAAACAAAAAUAAAUGUAUUUUUUCCAGUGCUUCCCAAUAGUAGACCUAUAAUUCUUAAUGAUAUAAUUAAUUAAAUCAUCACAACUUGGACCCAGAUAAGCUGCAGAAAAUGGAUGGAUUAACUAAUGAAAAAUUAUAAAUAGCUUAAUUAAGUUUUUUCUAAAAUCAACACUUGCUCAUUAUGAGACAAUUAGCUUCCUAGCUUUUGUAGCUAGCAGUAGUGAUGUGCUUUCUACAGGUCUAAUGGUGCUGACUGAAACUCCACAAAAAGGGAUUGACCAGUCUCCUGCAGCACAAUCCACUUUUAGUCCCCCGACAGCCUGCAAUUGGAUACAAAAACAUUUUAUAACAUUACUCCCUAUGGCAGGCUUGAGGAAAUAUUUCAGACCUUUGUAAAUUAAAUCGAAGCCUUUUUAAGAUCUUCCAAGGCUUUUGCUUGGGGAAACUAAAUUCAAUGCUUGUUUAGACUUUUCAAGACUUGACCUGCACCUGCAUUUUGUUUUAAAUGUCAAGACCACUCAUCAUCAGAGAGACAGCAAUCUUAAAUUGUGGCAGCGGCAGCUAGCAGUGGCACUGACCUGCUGCUGUUUGCGGCAGCUGCCACUGACAAAAAUCACAGCAUGGGAAUGCUACUUCUAGCGAGUCUAAUGCAACAUUGAUUGUUAACAUUCAUAAUCUAUAAACUUAGGCAUCUCACUAGCAGAUGCCACAAACAGCGGCAGGUCAGUGGCAGCUGAGGCUGCCAUUGGAAGUGCCACUGCUAGCUGCCGCUGCCACUAUUUGAGCCAGCCUUUGCUUCAUCAUCAGCCAAGUGCUUUCUUUCUAUCCGACACACAUGAAUAAAAUAUCUAGAAAUAUACACUUAUGCAGUUCUUGAAAUUGAACGUGGGUUUUCCUAAGAAUACUGUUCAUCAAUUUCCUGUCUCAACUCUAAUUUAGCUUUCUGUAAAACCAAAUCAGGGUAAAAGACAAACGGAUCAAACAGACAGCUAAAGACAAGGUAGAAGGUAAGUUUGGAGAGAGGAGAGAUGGGAUUUCCGAUGUAGGCUACUAUAAACAUGUAGUAUAAAUUAAUUUGAGGGAGGUGAGUAGACAAAAAAAAUUGUCUAAAUAGAUCAGGCAGUACAAAUGCUUUUUCUUUCACUACACUUAAAACUUUAUUUAUAAAGAAAUUUGGUAUACAGUAAAAUCUGACUUUUUUAGCUUUGAUUAAGAAAAGAACAUACAGACAUUGCAUGGCAAACAGCAUCCAGGCCAGUGAUACAUAACAUACGACAUCUUUCAAAAUAGGCAAGUUUGAGCAACUGGCUGUGUCAGCCAUACUGGCUCCACUGUUGCUAGGUCUCUACUGAUUUUGUGAGAAGCUGUGCAGACCUGUUCAACUGGAAUAAAGAUAAAAAAUAACUAGAUCCCGUUGUUGCAUGCAAUCUCAGAUCAGAAAAACAAACAGGUUCACCCCUUGUUCAGCAUGAGCUAAACAAAGCUGUCUCUCCUGAGUAUUUUUGAAGUAUCCUUGAUUAGUUUUUUUUAAACGUAAUACUAUGUUAGCAUACUUUUAAGGUGGUUAGAGGGUGUUAGCGCAUAUAUAUAGCCAACAAUUCUGUUAAAUGGGCAGCAAUAUUUCAUCCAUCUACAAUCAGACAAAUUUUUUUCAAUUACAGAACUGAACAAAACUCCUCACUCAACACAAAAUGAAAU